rnacentral:rRNA from 1 species
AUUGAACGCUGGCGGCAUGCUUUACACAUGCAAGUCGAACGGCAGCGCGGGCUUCGGCCUGGCGGCGAGUGGCGAACGGGUGAGUAAUGCAUCGGAACGUGCCCAGUAGUGGGGGGUAGCCCGGCGAAAGCCGGAUUAAUACCGCAUACGACCUGAGGGUGAAAGCGGGGGACCGAAAGGCCUCGCGCUAUUGGAGCGGCCGAUGUCGGAUUAGCUAGUUGGUGGGGUAAAGGCUUACCAAGGCGACGAUCCGUAGCUGGUCUGAGAGGACGACCAGCCACACUGGGACUGAGACACGGCCCAGACUCCUACGGGAGGCAGCAGUGGGGAAUUUUGGACAAUGGGGGCAACCCUGAUCCAGCCAUGCCGCGUGCGGGAAGAAGGCCUUCGGGCUGUAAACCGCUUUUGUUCGGGAAGAAAUCCUCUGGGCUAAUACCCCGGGGGGAUGACGGUACCGGAAGAAUAAGCACCGGCUAACCACGUG